AUUGAACGCUGGCGGCAGGCCUAACACAUGCACGUCGAGCGAGCGGCGGACGGGUGAGUAAUGUAUGGGGACUGCCCGAUAGAGGGGGAUCACUGCUGGAAACGGUGGCUAAUACCGCAUACUGUCGGAUAACCCAUAUGGGAUUAGAUCGUAGGUAAGGUAAUGGCUUACCUAGGCGACGAUCCCUAGCUGGUCUGCUAGGAUGAUCAGCCCCACUGGGACUGAGACACGGCCCAGACGCCUGCGGAGGCAGCAGUGGGGAAUAUUGCACAAUAGGCGAAAGCUUGAUGCAGCCAGGACGCGUGUAUGAAGAAGGCCAUAGGGUGGUAAAGUACUUUCAGUCGUGAGGCGUUACCGACAGAAGAAGCACCGGCUAAGUACGUGCCAGCAGCCGCGGUAAUAC
rnacentral:rRNA from 1 species